UAUAUAUUUUCAACAUCUGACAUAACCCUGUAUGUUUUGCAGGGACAACCCAGGACGUGCAUUUCUCAGCACCCAGUCAACUGCCAAAAGUGACUCAAACACAGGCCACCAGUGGAACUCGGCUGUACCACUGCAGUGCUGCGGAAAUUGCCUUCACCAGCGGCUUUGCAACAGCUGUUUCGCAGCAUGUCGGAGACAAUGCCUACGAAAUUAUUGGCCCUAAUCAUGAGAGCCCUCAAGGGGCAAACAACAUCUCUGUUGCAGAAGUGAGCCCGGUACCACUUGGAAGUUACCAUGACAGAUGACACGGCAGCAAUAGAUACAGAGACUGCCACGUCUACUGCAGCUGCAACAGUGUACGAGGCAAGCAGCAGCGCGUCAGCAGCAGUGUCAGAAGGAACCACACCAGGCCUGGUAGAGCAACAUGUGUGCUAUCACUGACUUUUUUUGUAGUGGAUACAACUCAUUUGCUCAACAUACAAAAGCUUUUCACCACGACUGUGAGCCAGUGUUAUUGUGCAGCAAGUGCAAGACUAAGUUAAGUGUAAUAACACAGUACAAG